CCAACCAGAGAAGUCGGCUGGCAAUCAUUAACUAAUGCUUUCUCCCAGGGAGAAAAAUGCAGGUUUUAAAGAGGCCGGGACUGCAGGAUUGCAAUAGAAGGUGCCAGGAUUACAGGCAUGCACCACUACCCCUGGCCAACGUUUCAUUUUAGCUGCAAAUCGCCAGAUUAACGGGAGGAUGAACGAUAUGAAGAAAGAUUUUGGUGAAAGGGAACAUACUAUGGAAAGUGAGACAGUGUUCAUUGAACUGAUCUAUAUGCUGUAUUCCCUUGAGGUUAAAGAGGCUGAGGCUUUGGCACUUGGUGAAGGCCAUCCUGUUGCAUCAUUCCCUGGUGGAAGACAGAAAGACAAGGAAGCAUGGGAGAGGAAGCAUGGCCACUUUUGGGCUAAUUAACCUGCAACCCCAAUCUAUCCUGAGGCAGCAUCCUAGUGACCUAAUCACCUCUUGUUAGACUCCCAUCUCUCAGCCCUGCUGCACCAGGGAUCAAGUUUUCAACACAUGAGCCUUGAGAGACACAUGUCAGCCAUUGCAUCAGAGCCACUCAGGAAGAGGAAACAUCCAUUGAGGAAAUGCCUCCAACAAUGGCCAAAAGAUUCCCGGUACCAUAAGACAUCCAGCUUAAGAAGAAAUGUUUACAAAUCUUAUUCCGGUCAGUGGAAAUGAGAGCAACCCAUGGCCUUGUGGUUCUGUCUGUGCUUGGCUGAUGGAAGCAGGAGCCAGACAUGCCUUUCAGCCUGAAGACUGUGGCCUUCGAGCUCUGCUGAGUCAUUAUCUGGAUGUCUUAACUGAGAGUGACAAGGCACACAACUGCAAACUUGGCUUUGUACUGUAGGAAGAAUAAACAGCCGUGAAAACGA